rnacentral:rRNA from 1 species
AUUGAACGCUGGCGGCAUGCCUUACACAUGCAAGUCGAACGGCAGCACGGGAGCAAUCCUGGUGGCGAGUGGCGAACGGGUGAGUAAUAUAUCGGAACGUGCCCGGUCGUGGGGAUAACGUAGCGAAAGCUACGCUAAUACCGCAUACGAUCUACGGAUGAAAGCGGGGGAUCGCAAGACCUCGCGCGAUUGGAGCGGCCGAUAUCAGAUUAGGUAGUUGGUGGGGUAAAGGCCUACCAAGGCGACGAUCUUUAGCUGGUCUGAGAGGAUGAUCAGCCACACUGGGACUGAGACACGGCCCAGACUCCUACGGGAGGCAGCAGUGGGGAAUAUUGGACAAUGGGGGAAACCCUGAUGCAGCAACGCCGCGUGAAGGAUGAAGGUUUUUCGGAUUGUAAACUUCUUUAGUCAGGGACGAAUAAAUGACGGUACCUGAAGAAUAAGCCACGGCUAACUACGUGCCAGCAGCCGCGGUAAU